rnacentral:rRNA from 1 species
GAAAGUAAGCAAGGGCAGACGGUGGAUGCCUUGGCUCUCGGAGGCGACGAAGGACGUGAUAAGCUGCGAAAAGCCCGGGGGAGGCGCAAAUAGCCCUUGAUCCCGGGAUAUCCGAAUGGGGCAACCCGGCAGGCUGAAGGCCUGUCAUCCCGUAAGGGAGGCGAACGUGGGGAACUGAAACAUCUAAGUACCCAUAGGAGGAGAAAAUAAACAAUGAUUCCGUAAGUAGUGGCGAGCGAACACGGAAGAGCCCAAACCCAUGUCGUCUAGGCGACACGGGGGUUGUAGGACCACGACGUGGCAAGAUAGAGUCAAGUGGAACGCCUUGGAAAAGGCGGUCAUAGAGGGUGAAAACCCCGUACACGACUGACGAUUGAAGCCUAGUGGCAUCCUGAGUAGCGCGGGGCACGAGAAAUCUUGCGUGAAUUAGCGGGGCCCAUCCCGUAAGGCUAAAUACUCCCGAGAGACCGAUAGCGAACCAGUACCGUGAGGGAAAGGUGAAAAGAACCCCGAGCAGGGGAGUGAAAUAGACCCUGAACCCGUCUGCCUACAAGCGGUCGGAGCGUCGUAAUGACGUGACGGCGUGCCUUUUGCAUAAUGAACCUACGAGUUACCUUCCCCGGCAAGGUUAAGUUCUUGAGGAACGGAGCCGAAGCGAAAGCGAGUCUGAACAGGGCGCCAAGUCGGGGGGGGUAGACGCGAAACCGAGUGAUCUACCCUUGGCCAGGUUGAAGGUUGGGUAACACCAACUGGAGGACCGGAUGGGUAAGCGUUGAAAAGCUUUCCAAUGAGCUGAGGGUAGGGGUGAAAGGCUAAUCAAACUCGGAGAUAGCUCGUACUCCCCGAAAUGCAUUUAGGUGCAGCCUCUUUAUAGUAUAUCGUGAGGUAGAGCGACUGAUUGGAUGCGAGGGCUUCACCGCCUAUCAAGUCCAGAUAAACUCCGAAUGCGCGAUAUAUAUUUACAGGGAGUGAGGGCGCGGGUGCUAAGGUCCGUGUCCGAGAGGAGAAGAAUCCAGACCACCGGCUAAGGCCCCCAAAUGAUCGUUAAGUUGAACUAACGAGGUCGGAUCGCAGAGACAGCUAGGAUGUUGGCUUGGAAGCAGCCAUUCAUUUAAAGAGUGCGUAACAGCUCACUAGUCGAGCGAUCUGGCGUGGAUAAUAAUCGGGCAUAAACGAUCUGCCGAAGCCGUGGAUGUCGCAAGACAUGGUAGGGGAGCAUUCCAUGCCGCGUCGAAGAUAAGGGAUGACCCUUGUUGGAGCGCAUGGAAAAGCAAAUGUAGGUAUGAGUAACGAUAAGGGGGGCGAGAAACCCCCCCGCCGAAAGACCAAGGUUUCCUGAUCAACGCUAAUCGGAUCAGGGUGAGUCGGGACCUAAGGCAAAGCCGAACGGCGCCGCCGAUGGAAGAAUGGGUUAAUAUUCCCAUACUGCCUCAUGGAGUGACGUGGAGACGGAGAAGUGACAGUCCUGCCGGCUGACGGAAUAGCCGGUUGAAGGGUGUAGAUAUUGAUUCCCGUAGGCAAAUCCGCGGGGAGAGUCGAACCUGAGAGUAUACGGAGCGCUUGCGCAACGUAAUAUGGACGUAACCAUGCUCCCGAGAAAAUCCGCUAAACUUAUCCAUGCGGCACCCGUACCGUAAACGGACACACGUGGUCGGGUUGAGAAUACUGAGGCGCUCGAGUGAUUCACGGUUAAGGAACUAGGCAAAUUGACCCUGUAACUUCGGGAUAAAGGGUCCUCGUCGUAAGGCGAGGCGCAGAGAAUAGGUCCAGGCAACUGUUUAACAAAAACACAUGGCUGUGCUAAAUGGAAACAUGAUGUAUACAGCCUGACACCUGCCCGGUGCCGGAAGGUUAAGAGGAGAUGUCAUCCGCGAGGAGAAGCGUUGAAUUGAAGCCCCGGUAAACGGCGGCCGUAACUAUAACGGUCCUAAGGUAGCGAAAUUCCUUGUCGGGUAAGUUC